CCCAAAGUGCUGAGAUUACAGUCAUGAGCUACUGUGCCCAGCCCAAAUUCCUCUUUAUCAGCAUCAGAUCAUAUCAAUAUCAAUUUUAUAAAGACCAUUAAUAUCAACCAGGAGAAGGAUGAAAGCAAAAUGUUCUAAGAGCAAAGGGACUGCUGAUUAUCAUCAAGUGACCCUAUUUCACAGGAAGAAAAUGUGGAUGACAUUUUAUGACCAACAGCAUUGUUUAUUUAACCUUGGAGCACAAUAGAGAAAAACUUUUGACUCCAACCCCCAGUCCCUGAAGGCAGAAGUCUGAAAUACCCUCUCAAUUCUGUUUAUGGCCUUAAAGCAUUUGUCUUAGCCUAUAUUCUCCCCAAAGCAGGGCCUGAGACAAAGGCUUAUGUGUGAGUAGUUUAAUUUGCUGUGCUGAUCUCAGGAAGCAGGAGCUAUGCUUGCAGAAAAUGAAAUAGGGAGUGCAAAUAUAAGGAUAAGAUAUUAACUACUACUGAGGACAACUGAUUACUCAAGCAUGGGAGACCUUCUGAGAGACCAUAUAGGAUGCAUUUAAGGACUGUCUUGCUCAGGGGAAGAGAGGGAGAAAAGGUUAUCCAUCAGUUUCCCUCUCCCAUUGGUCAAGACUGGCCCUAGGGAACAUUUAUGUUUCCUGUAAAUGAGUGCUAAGUGGACUCCCACAGACAUCAGGCAUGGCAGCUCAAAGAGACUGGAAGGCAGAAAAUGAAAGACAUGAGACGGGCCUGAGGCCAGGCAUUUUCAGGUUACAUCUUCAUGAAGAUGGUCACUGCUGCACAAUGGCUGGAAUAAGAGGUGAGACUGACAAGAUAUGAAGUGGGACAUGAGAGGUGUUUGACAGAGUCCAACCCUUGCACCAUUCAAGCCCACUUAAAAUGCCCUUGUGUAAAUUUAAUUUGUCAUACGGUCGUCUUCAGUAUGGCAGUUGGCUGCGUUCUCUGCAAACACUUGAUAAUCCAAGCAAAUUAGUGAAACAAGUUAUAACACUUGCUGCUACAGUUGAUCCCAAAGCUGUAAUUGAUAUUCAUUAUCUGCUUCUUCUACCACUCAAUCUAGAUUUCUCUUAUUCUCAUCUAGCACUUUGGCUGGCCUGGAUUUCUUGCUUGGUGGUGGGACUAUGACUGUCCCUGAAGUCCUUAUGAUUGCCUUACCCUUGAUAUGAUCAUGAUUACUACAAAUAGCCUGUUCAUCAUUACCACUGGAUUUGUUCCUGAGCUGACACUUAACUGAGCCUUACCAGAACAUUCCACCAUCAUCUGCCAGGGUCUGUUUUAUUGCAGAAGCCAUAGAGGUGAUCUGAAUAGAGAUAUAAUGGGCAUAAACAGGCUUGUGUCCUCUAAGUCUGUUCUGAUGGUGUUAAUCUCUGCAGUUCUUUCUGGGAUGCAAUAUUGCUUCUACUGAUGGGGGCAGUGAAGUGUCUGGGUAACUUCAGGGGCUUCCACUUGGCCCUUUCUACUACAGACUCUUACUCGGCUGGAUGUGGUGGCUCACGCCUGUAAUUCCAGCACUUUGGGAGGCCGAGGCGGGCGGAUCACUUGAGGUCAGGAGUUCGAGAUCAGCCUGGCCAAUGUGGUGAAACCCCAUCUCUACUAACAUUAGAGACUACAAAAAUUAGCCGUGUGUGGUGGUGGCAUGCCUGUAAUUCCAGCUACUCAGGAGGCUGAGGCAGGGGAAUCGCUUGAACCCAGGAGGUGGAGGUUGCAGUGAGCCGGGAUCAAGCCAUUGUACUCCAGCCUGGGUGACAGAACAAGACUCUGUCUCAAAAAAAAAAAAGAUUCUUACUCCUCAGGUCAGAAAAACAACACAAGAAUUCUAAUAUCUGCUAAAUAUAUAUCUGCUGAUCUCUACUUCCAGAAACUGGGGAAUUAACCACAGGGUGGGUCCGUGAAUGCAUAGAACCAAUGUGAAAUGCAUUUGGGCUAGAAGUCAUUUUAUCACUUGGCUUUCAUCAUUCAAAUUCAUCAUCUAAAAAUGGGGGGCUGCAUGCGGUGCCUCACACCUGUAAUUCCAGCACUUUGGGAGGCUGAGGUGGGUGGAUCAUCUGAGGUGAGGAGUUCAAGACUCAUCCUGGCCCACAAUGCAAAACCCGUCUGCACUAAAAAUACAAACAUUAGCCAGGCGUGGUGGCGGGCACUUGUAGUCCCAGCUACUCGAGAGGCUGAGGCGGGAGAAUCACUUGAACCCAGGAGAUGGAGGUUGCAGUCAGCCGAGAUUGUGCCACUUCACUCCAGCCUGGGUGACGGAGCGAGACUCCCUGUCAAUAAAUAAAUAAAUAAAUAAAUAAUGGGGGUGACAGUUCUUAUCACUUACGGGUUUUGUGAGGAUUAAAUGGUAUGUGUAAACACCAAAACAGCUGUUGACACACAGUAGGUGUUCAAGAAAUAGUACUGUGAUAGGACAUUUUUCUACAGAAAUCCUGACUCCCGCUUUGGAUGAUUUCCUUGAAUCCUGAGUUUUUUGAAUUCCCCAAAUUGUCCUCCAUGGUACUACAUAGUCAUUAAGAACAAAGAUUUAGGAGCCAGAUCAUUGGGGUUUUGAAUCUUGGCUCUACCAGUCACUAGCUGUUGGAUGUUGGGCAAGUG
rnacentral:lncRNA from 10 species